GGUACAGUGGCAGCUAUUCUCAUGUGUCCGCUAGAAGUUAGAAUGACAUGGCUGCUGUCUUCCUCUGUGAAGCUUUUUAUAUCUGAAGUUUAGCUGAACACCAUGGUGUUUUUUAUAUCUGAAGUUUAGUUGAACGCCAUGGCUGAAGCCCAUUAUCAACUGAAUGACAUUUCUUAAAUUUCUUAAAUGUCAUGCAUUUACCUGAACCUUUUCAUUUCUUAAAGGUGACCUUGGAAAAAGAAGGGCUUUUUUCCUUGUUUAGAGGAUUAGGCCAGUUGAUUGAGGGUGGGUCCUUCUAGAGCAACAUACUUUGCUGAUUAUUCAAACUGCAUGAAAAAGCUGAAUGCUAUAAUGGACUGUGAUUCUACCUGGUACAUUAUUUCAGCUACAGUGGCAGGUUUUACUGUACUUAUAGCAACCAACCCCAGUUGACUUAAAGAGACUCAGAUAUAGCUUGACUACAGG
rnacentral:lncRNA from 1 species